rnacentral:rRNA from 1 species
UACGGGGGGGGCAAGCGUUGUUCGGAAUUACUGGGCGUAAAGGGCUCGUAGGUGGUCAACUAAGUCGGACGUGAAAUCCCCCGGCUUAACCGGGGAACUGCGUCCGAUACUGGAUGACUUGAGUUCGGGAGAGGGAUGCGGAAUUCCAGGUGUAGCGGUGAAAUGCGUAGAUAUCUGGAGGAACACCGGUGGCGAAGGCGGCAUUCUGGACCGAUAUUGACGCUGAGGAGCGAAAGCCAGGGGAGCAAACGGG